rnacentral:rRNA from 1 species
GUGCCAGCCGCCGCGGUAAUACGUAGGGGGCAAGCGUUGUCCGGAUUUACUGGGCGUAAAGAGCGCGUAGGUGGUUGGGUAGGUUGGUCGUGAAAGGUUCGGGCUUAACCCGAAUAGGUCGACCAAGACCGCUCGACUCCGAGGGCAGUAGAGGAAGGUGGAAUUCCGGGUGUAGUGGUGAAAUGCGUAGAUAUCCGGAGGAACACCGGUGGCGAAGGCGGCCUUCUGGGCUGUCCCUGACACUGAGGCGCGAAAGCGUGGGGAGCGAACUGAAUUAGAUACUCAGGUAGUCCACGCCCUCAACGAUGGACACUAGGUGUGGGGGGUAUCGACCCCUCCCGUGCCGGAGCUAACGCAGUAAGUGUCCCGCCUGGGGAGUACGGCCGCAAGGCUAAA